rnacentral:rRNA from 1 species
GACGUAGGGCGCGAGCGUUGUCCGGAUUUAUUGGGCGUAAAGAACUCGUAGGCGGCUUGUCGCGUCGACUGUGAAAUCCCGAGGCUCAACUUCGGGCUUGCAGUCGAUACGGGCAGGCUAGAGUUCGGUAGGGGAGACUGGAAUUCCUGGUGUAGCGGUGAAAUGCGCAGAUAUCAGGAGGAACACCGAUGGCGAAGGCAGGUCUCUGGGCCGAUACUGACGCUGAGGAGCGAAAGCGUGGGGAGCGAACAGG